CUGAAGCACAAGCAAUUUUAAUAAAAUUUUCAAAUUUAAGCUCGUACUUGGAUAGGGAACGAAGGACAGUAUUAAACACAUGGAGCAUUAUAAGUAAAGAUUAAAGUUGGAGGUAUUGAAUACUCACCAAAUUGCAACCUAUUCAACCUAAAUAUGGUACGAAAUCAAGUCCACAAUAUCUAUUUGAGUUAGUUUGGCUUAUUUUAAGGGUCAAUACAAAGGAGUGGUUGAUGGAGCCUAAAGAAGCAAAAAGAUAGAGAAUUGAAGCCAAAUAUGCAAAUAGGCAUAGCCAAUAUGCUAUGCGAAUCACCAAUCCUCUCGGCAUGUCACCAAAAUUGGAGAUCCAUCGCCUAACUUAACAGAUCCACCAAGUUUCAGACAAAGAAGAAUAGCGAUGAAGUUAAAGAGUUCUGCUGAUCGCCAAACAAAUUAGUGAAGCAUGAGUUCAUUUCCAAAGUCACCAGAUGAAAAUGAUUGACGCUUCAAGUCAAUGCUAGUUUUGCGAUGUAGAGUCACCUUGGCUUAUUGUCUAGGAUCUUAGUGAUGGCCUUUCUCAUCCAUUGAGGUUGGACGCGAUGGAAAUUUCACAAUUUUCUUACCCAUUUAUGGUUGAUUUAUAAAAAGCUUUUUGGUAGAUUGUAAUCCUAUUUUUAAUCAAUUUUGAGAUCUUGAAAGCUGUUAUCAAAAUCCUAAUUUUGGGAAUAGUCAAAUUCAUGUUCUUCUACAUUGAAUUCAGAUUUUACAUGUAAAGAUUAUUAUUCCAUGGAAGAUGUUAAUGAGCAUAUAGGUAUAAUUUCUCCUUCUUCUACUAUGCUUGGCUAAAUUUCCCUUACUUGGGGUUAUGUAUGAAUAAGUUGUGUUAAAUGAAUGGUUGUUCUUUAUUUUCUUU
rnacentral:lncRNA from 1 species